CGCGGGUUGGAGAAGAGGUCAUCUCGUCACGCUCAUAACGUGAAGAUCGCUGGUUCGAAUCCAGCACCCGCUA
rnacentral:tRNA from 1 species